rnacentral:rRNA from 1 species
AGCAGCCGCGGUAAUUCCAGCUCCAAUAGCGUAUAUUAAAGUUGUUGCAGUUAAAAAGCUCGUAGUUGAAUUUCGGAAUCUGUCCAUUGGUCGGGCUUCACUGUCCGUACUGGUGUGGUGGGUUCUUACCUUCUGAAUAACCAGCAUGCCAUUCAUUUGGUGCGUUGGGGAAGCAGGACUAUUACCUUGAAAAAAUUAGAGUGCUCAAAGCAGGCUAGUGCCUGAAUACAUUAGCAUGGAAUAAUAAAAUAGGACGGCAUGGUUCUAUUUUGUUGGUUUCUAGGAUCACCGUAAUGAUUAAUAGGGAUAGUUGGGGGCAUUAGUAUUCAAUUGUCAGAGGUGAAAUUCUUGGAUUUAUUGAAGACUAACUUCCGCGAAAGCAUUUGCCAAGGAUGUUUCAUUAAUCAAGAACGAAAGUUAGGGGAUCGAAGACGAUCAGAUACCGUCGUAGUCUUAACCAUAAACUAUGCCGACUAGGGAUCGGACGAUGUUAAUUUUUUAAUGACUCGUUCGGCGUACC